rnacentral:lncRNA from 1 species
GUCACUAUGGCAACAAGACAUUGUCAUUAAUGGUCCAAAGUCAGGAGAGGGAGUGGAACAUUCAUGCCACUUGGUGGAGGCAUAAUCCCCAGAAGUCAGCAACUAGAGGCAAUCACCUGAUCAUCCUUAGCUACAGCUCUUGUUUGGAACUUGGAAAGAAUGAAGUCAUCUAAGGGCUCAUCUGGGGAAAUGUUACAUAAAGUGUCUCACUGAACUCCCCAAAUUUAUCCGAAGUACGCUGUCUGGAUCUGACUCGUAUUUCAUAUUCUCUAUCCAACCUCAAGGAGUACACUGGAACAGAUGUGGAGCGCACGAGAUCCAUCUACAAAUAUAAAAACAUCACCGACAAUUUUCUGAUUAACAAAAGCUGGGAGAGACUGACAAAUGAUGGUAAAGUCUAGAAGAUUCUCAGAAAAAAAAAAGGAUUUAGGACACCUGAGCACAUUUGUUAGGUUUAUGGGGAAAAAAAUCACUGGAAAGUAAUUGAUGGAUUUGCAUGAAAGAGAGGAAAAAAUGGAAGGAGUCAAGUUUUGGAAGGCCAGAGGGGAUGGAAUGAACAGUAAAGAGCUAUAUAAUCAGGUGGAUGGAUAGAUAGACAUGGAAGAAAAGAACAUUCAGAGCACUCUUCUCUUUGGUCAAACUUCCCCAUAUAGUCCUUAGAACUGAGGCAGACAUUUCACAAACCUAGAUCACUUUGGUCUGGUCCUAUGCCCUUGGAACCACCAUGGACUUUGGAGUGAGAAAAGAUAAAAAGGAGUGAGAAGCUGGCAGAGAGACCAACAGAAGCAACAACAAAA